AUGGUGAGAGGGAAGACAGAAAUGAAGCGUAUAGAGAACGCAACAAGUAGACAAGUAACAUUUUCAAAGAGAAGAAAUGGUUUGAUGAAGAAAGCAUUUGAAUUAUCAAUUAUGUGUGAUGCUGAAAUUGCUCUUAUUGUUUUCUCACCAAGAGGAAGAAUAUAUGAAUUCGCAAGUUCAAGAGUCCAUAUUUAUAGCCAGCAAUAA